AAAGCUCUUUCAGCCGGGAAGAAAACGCAUGGGUUAAUACCCUGUGUGGAUGACGGUACCGGAAUAAGAAGCACCGGCUAACUACGUGCCAGCAGCCGCGGUAAUACGUAGGGUGCGAGCGUUAAUCGGAAUUACUGGGCGUAAAGCGUGCGCAGGCGGUUUGUUAAGAUAGGCGUGAAAUCCCCGGGCUCAACCUGGGAACUGCGUUUAUGACUGGCAGGCUAGAGUAUGGCAGAGGGGGGUGGAAUUCCACGUGUAGCAGUGAAAUGCGUAGAGAUGUGGAGGAACACCGAUGGCGAAGGCAGCCCCCUGGGCCAAUACUGACGCUCAUGCACGAAAGCGUGGGUAGCAAACAGGAUUAGAUACCCUGGUAGUCCACGCCCUAAACGAUGUCAACUAGGUGUUGGGAGGGUAAAACCUUUUAGUACCGGAGCUAACGCGUGAAGUUGACCGCCUGGGGAGUACGGCCGCAAGGUUAAAACUCAAAGGAAUUGACGGGACCCGCACAAGCGGUGGAUGAUGUGGAUUAAUUCGAUGCAACGCG
rnacentral:rRNA from 1 species